UACAGAGGGUGCGAGCGUUAAUCGGAAUUACUGGGCGUAAAGGGCGCGUAGGUGGUUGAUUAAGUGAGUUGUGAAAUCCCUGGGCUUAACCUAGGACCUGCAACUUAAACUGAUUGACUGGAGUACAGUAGAGGGUGGAGGAAUUUCCGGUGUAGCGGUGAAAUGCGUAGAUAUCGGAAGGAACACCAGUGGCGAAGGCGGCCACCUGGACUGAUACUGACACUGAGGCGCGAAAGCGUGGGGAGCAAACAGG
rnacentral:rRNA from 1 species